ACAGGCGCCUACACGGGGAGCACAGCCCUGGCCAGCGCGGCUCUGCUGGUUGGAGCAUCGUCCCACAGCCAGAAGGUUGCAGGUUCGAUUCCCGGUCCAGGGGCACAGAGGAGGCAACCAGUCAACGCUUUUCUCUCACAUCGAUGUUUCCCUCUCUCCCUCUCCCCGCCCCCCGUUUCCUACGGCAACGAAGAAAAGGUCCUCAGGUCAGAAGGGCGCGGUUUCACCGAAGCCCGGCCUGUGAAUCGAGCGCGGGGCCGGUGCUGCGCCGAGAACGCCAUCCUCGCGCCCAGGGCUGCCCCGGACCCCUCCCCGCCUGUCUGUCUGCGAGGAGUCGGCGUCUCACAGCUUCCGUUUAGUUCUGUGACCCGCUCUGAGUCAACGUCUACGAAGGCCUGCACUCAGUCCACUGAGCCACCCCAGCCAGGGCUGAAGAUUCUUCUCCUUGCGUGUCCGGUUGUCCCAGCGCCGUUUAUUAAGAAACUGCCUGACUAUGUCGUACUGUCUUUCUUUACUCCUUGAUCCAAGCAGCAUCCUUGGUGUUCACCCACGAGACGCCAGCGCCUCAGGCCGCCCUAGUUGUGACGAUCAGAAACGUGCCCCAGCGCUGCCGCGGGCUGGUGAGCGGGCAGGCUGCCCUCCUGGAAACCGCCGCUGGGCGGCGCUGCAGCGCGCAGUGUUCCGGGCCCGCCUGCGGCCGAGGAUGGUCGGGCGGUUCGUCGGGCGGUUCCCAGUGCGGGCGGGGCUCUUGCCAACGCGGCUGCCGUGGACAUCCCCGAGUGUGUCUUCAGUGAGCACAUGUUUGCAUUGUCCUCUUUUUAAGUACAUUUUAUUGAUGACGCUAUUACAGUU